CAUGCUGCUGGGCGCAGCCUGAUCCAGCAUGCCGCGUGAGUGAAGAAGGCCUUCGGGUUGUAAAGCUCUUUUGUCAGGGAAGAAACGGUUCAGGCUAAUAUCCUGGGCUAAUGACGGUACCUGAAGAAUAAGCACCGGCUAACUACGUGCCAGCAGCCGCGGUAAUACGUAGGGUGCAAGCGUUAAUCGGAAUUACUGGGCGUAAAGCGUGCGCAGGCGGUUUUGUAAGUCUGACGUGAAAGCCCCGGGCUCAACCUGGGAAUUGCGUUGGAGACUGCAAGGCUUGAAUCUGGCAGAGGGGGGUAGAAUUCCACGUGUAGCAGUGAAAUGCGUAGAGAUGUGGAGGAACACCGAUGGCGAAGGCAGCCCCCUGGGUCAAGAUUGACGCUCAUGCACGAAAGCGUGGGGAGCAAACAGGAUUAGAUACCCUGGUAGUCCACGCCCUAAACGAUGUCUACUAGUUGUCGGGUUUUAAUUAACUUGGUAACGCAGCUAACGCGUGAAGUAGACCGCCUGGGGAGUACGGUCGCAAGAUUAAAACUCAAUGAAAUUUGACGGA
rnacentral:rRNA from 1 species